rnacentral:rRNA from 1 species
CAGUAGCCGCGGGAAUACGUAGGGUGCGAGCGUUGUCCGGAAUUACUGGGCGUAAAGAGCUCGUAGGUGGUUUGUCGCGUUGUUCGUGAAAACUCACAGCUUAACUGUGGGCGUGCGGGCGAUACGGGCAGACUAGAGUACUGCAGGGGAGACUGGAAUUCCUGGUGUAGCGGUGGAAUGCGCAGAUAUCAGGAGGAACACCGGUGGCGAAGGCGGGUCUCUGGGCAGUAACUGACGCUGAGGAGCGAAAGCGUGGGGAGCGAACAGGAUUAGAUACCCCAGUAGUCCCUGUCUCUUAUAC